CAACGCGACCCCAGGUC
rnacentral:rRNA from 1 species